rnacentral:rRNA from 1 species
UACGAAGGAUGCAAGCGUUAUCCGGAUUUAUUGGGUUUAAAGGGCGCGUAGGCGGUGCGGUAAGUCACCUGUGAAAUCUCCUGGCUCAACCUGGGAACCGCGCUUGAGACUGGCACGCUAGAGUUCGGGAGAGGAUGGUGGAAUUCCCAGUGUAGAGGUGAAAUUCGUAGAUAUUGGGAAGAACACCGAUGGCGAAGGCAGCCAUCUGGACCGACACUGACGCUGAGGCGCGAAAGCGUGGGGAGCAAACAGG